AGCAAGAUGACCAUCUGCAAUUCAGAAAAGAUUUGCUGACUUCUGCCCUAGGAUACUGUCAUGGUCUGCAUGUUUGAAACUGGGUCACCACUACAUCUGGCAAAAGGAACAUGGAAAAGGCAACUCUCAUUGGUGCCAGACCUAGAAACAACACAUGUCACUUCUGUUCCUUUUAACCAGAAGGAAACUUUAAUCACUGGCAAUGCAACACCAAGGGAACCUGUGUAAUCCAAUUGAGUCAACAGUUCCACUCAGGCUAUAAGCCUGUAUUAUGAAAGAAGAGGAAGGUGCUUUGCUGGAUGGUCAGCAGUCUUUCCCACAUUCAAUAGUAAAGAAGCUAGUGUGUUUCUACUUUAGUGCACAAACACUGUCUUUUUGGA
rnacentral:lncRNA from 1 species